CCUACGGGAGGCAGCAGUGGGGAAUUUUGGACAAUGGGCGCAAGCCUGAUCCAGCCAUGCCGCGUGCGGGAAGAAGGCCUUCGGGUUGUAAACCGCUUUUGUCAGGGAAGAAAAGGUUCUGGCUAAUACCUGGGACUCAUGACGGUACCUGAAGAAUAAGCACCGGCUAACUACGUGCCAGCAGCCGCGGUAAUACGUAGGGUGCAAGCGUUAAUCGGAAUUACUGGGCGUAAAGCGUGCGCAGGCGGUUAUGCAAGACAGAGGUGAAAUCCCCGGGCUCAACCUGGGAACUGCCUUUGUGACUGCAUAGCUAGAGUACGGUAGAGGGGGAUGGAAUUCCGCGUGUAGCAGUGAAAUGCGUAGAUAUGCGGAGGAACACCGAUGGCGAAGGCAAUCCCCUGGACCUGUACUGACGCUCAUGCACGAAAGCGUGGGGAGCAAACAGGAUUAGAUACCCUGGUAGUCCACGCCCUAAACGAUGUCAACUGGUUGUUGGGAGGGUUUCUUCUCAGUAACGUAGCUAACGCGUGAAGUUGACCGCCUGGGGAGUACGGCCGCAAGGUUGAAACUUAAAGGAAUUGACGG
rnacentral:rRNA from 1 species